GGGGUUGUAGCUCAGCAGUAGAGCACUCACCUAGCAUGUGUGAGGCCCUAGGUUUGAUCCUUAGCUCCA
rfam:Ictidomys tridecemlineatus contig013949, whole genome shotgun sequence.